rnacentral:piRNA from 1 species
UGGAAUAUCCCUUUUGAGCUUGCUUGAAUGC